GACGAACGCUGGCGGCGUGCUUAACACAUGCAAGUCGAACGGAAAGGCCUCUUUCGGGGGGUACUCGAGUGGCGAACGGGUGAGUAACACGUGAGUAACCUGCCCUCUACUCUGGGAUAACUCCAGGAAACAGGGGCUAAUACAGGAGAGGAGCUCCUGCGGCACGGGGGGGGUUGGGGAGUGUCGGCGGUUGGGGAUGGACUCGCGGCGUAUCUGCUUGUUGGUGGGGGAGUGGCUUACCCAGGCUUUGACGGGUAGCCGGCCCGGGAGGGUGACCGGCCCCCUUGGGGCUGGGGUUCGGCCCAGGCUCCUACGGGGGGCCACCGUGGGGAAUAAUUCACCAUGGGUGGGAGCCUGAUGCAGCAACGCCGUGUGCGGGAUGGCGGCCUUCGGGUUGUAAACCGCUUUCGCUCAUGACGGAGCUUUGUGUGACGGUAGUGGGUAAAGAAGCACCGGCUAACUACGUG
rnacentral:rRNA from 1 species